AGGUACAGUGUGAAGUGCUGGGCAGAGAAAGGCAACAAACCCACAGGGUGGGUUGUCUGAAAAAAUGCGUUUAAUCUUGCUAAGCCUUUUCAUCCAAGUUUCAUACCAACCAAUAACAGCUCACUCUGUAUCCACCACUUAAUACAAACAGAGGUAUCCUGACUGAAAUAACCACUGACCACAUGUGAUGUAAACAAACCUCUAGCUCCUGUCCCUCCCUUAACCGUUCCUGUAUUAUUCCCCACAGUAUUGUAUAUAAAUGAACACUGCGACUCACUGGGCACAAAGGGCAUGUCCAGAUGCUAUUUUAGAUUCUACUCACGUGGUGUAUUGCACAUUUGCCUUUAGAACCCCACUGUUAACAUGCCAUUUCCUGUCAUAUUUCUUCCUGAAGUUGUACAGACUUGGUAAGCAGCCACUGGCAAUGGUUAUUCAGCUAUCCUGUAUCUUCUUAGGGAGCCACACUAUUGGUAAUACUCUGCAAUUGAAACACUGUUAUAAACUCAUCUAAGACAAACUAGAGGGAAUUCAAGAAGAGCAACAAAAAACUGGCCAGGGAACUGCAGGAGACUUAUGAGAGAAUACGAGUUAAGUCUGUCUAGUUUGGCUAAGGGACAACUAAUGGUGGGGAAGAACUAGUAAUGUGCACCUUUCUAAAGCUCCCUACUAAGUGUGCUGUUCCCUAAAUAUGUUGAGUACAUGGGAUAGCCCACAGCAGAUCAGUACUUUUGCUUUUUCUCUUCUUUCAUAACUCAGUUUCUUAGGAAAUGGCUGCCUGAAACAGUACAUUUGCUCUGUGUGCCUGGAUGGGUAAAUCUACUAUUUGAAAGGUGGAAUUAUUUAGGAUGAUAUGAGGAGUUAUAACCAAGAGGAAUGGGAUGAAAUAAAGAAAGAAAAUCUAGGCUGAAGAUCAGGAGACCAGUCAAGCCUAAACCUAAUUUGGCUAAACUGCGGAGAAUGGCCCAAGCUUGGCAGCUGUUUGGGAAACAAGGACAGCACUUGGAAGUGUGAGCUAAAAACCAGACCCUCCAGGAGUGCUGAUGUCACGUAACCCUUCAUACUUCCAGCCAGCAACAUGAAACCAGUGUUGCUGCUUGGAUGCAACUCCUGAGCCAGGACGGUAUCAGAAGUACUACCUUCACAGCUGACCACCUGAGGAGUCAAGAUAAUCCAUGGGAAUGUGGCAGGAGAAGGCUCCUAUAGUCCAGAGAAGAGGCUUCAAUGUUCAGAAAUUAUAUUGUGUGCCCAGACUUGGCUAUUCAAGGGUAGAAAGAGUCUCACAUUUGCAAGUGUUAAAUUCCCUUCUUGUGAGAAUGGCAGGAUUCCUCAUAGGGGAAGGGUUGUUGUUUUAAUGUAUUUACAAUGCUUUGAAAGUGUAGAGGGCUAAGUAUUUAUUAAUAAAUCAACACUACUUUCCUCAG